UUGAAGCGGCCGCGCCGCGCUGCGCCGCGCCAGGCGUGUGGCGCCCCCUUGUGGCCGCGAGCGGCGCGGGGAUGCCGGGCUUUCCCGCUUGGCAGCCGCGUUGCUCCAAGCAGAGGCCGGGCGUGCUGCGUUGCGCCGCUCUCCUUCCUUUUGUCCUGGCUUGGCAGUGGCUGCGGGCCGGCGGCUAAACAGGUCGUUCGGCGGUAGGAAAAAACAAUGUUUUUUUUUUUUUUUUACAAAGGAAGGCAGAAAGGUUUCAGCCCUGCUGCAAGGAAAGGAAGAGGAGAAACGUGAGGAAACCACGAGGCUGCUUUGCAGCUUCCUCCUGCAGCACAGUGAUCUCUUGCAGCACAACAAUGGCCAUUUACGGAGCAGAACACUCAGGGAAGCGUGGCAGGAUUUCUGGCUCUGAAUGGGGUUUUGUGCAUGGCACAUCUGCGUGCCGCGAUACAGCUGGCGUUUUCUGCAGCAGCAGCAAGCGGGUGGAUUUAGCGCGUCAGUGCUGAGGAAGAAGCCAGACUUCACGCCUGAGCUACAGGAGCACAGAGGAAGUCAAGCACUGCAGUCACACAGAUUUGCACUGCCCAUAGUUGGCACUCGGGCAAAACUCCAGCGGAGGUCAGCGGAACAGCUGCCAAAAGUCUGUGGGCUUAAUGCGUGUGGGCCACAUUUAAAAUGUCACUGAGUAUUAAUAAGAGGAAAAAAAUACAGAAAUGCAUCGGAAGUGAGGGCAAGAUGCAAAGGAGCACCAUUGAGACAGUGCAUUUGCAGUUAGGACAGUAAAAACAGAAACGGAAGGAACUGUAAACUGAAACAUUUUCACCGAUUUUUCAGAGGUGCACCUUUUUGUUACUCAGAAGUAGCAGCUCCUGUUUAAGAGUUUUCCCCUUCAGUUCUGAAGAUGCACUGGGUGAAUGCAAAACAUUUCUUUUUAAAAAAAUCUGUAAAGAUAUGGGCACAAUCAGAAAAGGGAAAGAAGGUGCGCUCUACACAGUACACUUAAUGCAUGCUGGCUCCCAAUGUCUGAAAGAAUUUAGACACGUGAGGCAGCCUGGGCAGCAAGUGCAAUGGGCAGUGAGAACGAGCAGCACCCACUCAGCACUGUUUGUGCAAAGGUUAUCCC